GGGGAUCCGCCGCGAAAUCGGGUUCAUGAGUAGAGAGGAGCCUUUAGAAGUGCCAUCCGCUGAGGGAGCGCCGUGAGGCUGUAGCUCACGUGUUCCUUGAAAGGUAAAGAUCACAGCCUUCUCAACAAAGACCCAGUCUGAAAACGGAGUAAAAAUUACUGUGAGAAGUUUGCUUUCUGGAAGGAAGUGAGUUUUCCUGCUCUACAGCUCCAAGUCCCAAUAUAAAUUUAUGCUUUCUAAUAUAGUAUGCAUUUUAUAUCAAGUCUAUGCUUUUUCUGUUAUUUUUGGAAGACUCAUCUGAUGAAUAUAUUCAACUGGUAAUGUGGCUUUGUAAAUUAAAGACUUUUUCUUGUUUAAUGCUUUGUUUUAUUCACUAAAAUUACAAUAUGAUUUUGCACAUCUUAAGAAAAGAAGGUGACAUUUCAACCAAACAUUUAAAAAUCUUAGUUUUACUAUUGCAACUGAUUAUUUUGUAGUAAAAAUUUGUGAGUACAUCUUUAUUUUUGUUUAUAAAACUGAAGUGCUAUUCACUCAUAUAUGCUAAUGUUUUCUUGAAUGCCUUAAACUUCUACAAACAAUUUGCAGUUGGAGAGUGUAAUUUUCUUUUACUUACACAUUCAUUCUGUUUGUGAAAGUAAGAAAAAUUGAAACACAAAAUCUUCUUAUAAGUUUCUUAUAUUCUAACUUGUUCAGCUUCUAGAUUUUGUAGGUUCCUUUAAGCGAAUUGGAUUUUCUCCUUGCAUUUAGAUUAACAAUAAAAUUAUUCACUCUUA